AAAAUACUCCCUUCGUUCGGAAAUACUUGUCAUUAAAAUGAAUAAAAGAGGAUGUAUCUAGAUGUAUUUUAGUUCUAGAUACAUUCUUUUUUGUCCAUUUUGAUGACAAGUAUUUUCGGACGGAUGGAGUAUAUA
rnacentral:pre_miRNA from 1 species